rnacentral:rRNA from 1 species
UACGGAGGGGGCAAGCGUUAUUCGGAAUUACUGGGCGUAAAGGGCUCGUAGGCGGCCAACUAAGUCAGACGUGAAAUCCCUCGGCUUAACCGGGGAACUGCGUCUGAUACUGGAUGGCUUGAGUUCGGGAGAGGGAUGCGGAAUUCCAGGUGUAGCGGUGAAAUGCGUAGAUAUCUGGAGGAACACCGGUGGCGAAGGCGGAUCUCUGGGCCAUUACUGACGCUGAGGAGCGAAAGCGUGGGGAGCGAACGAGG